GACGAACGCUGGCGGCGUGCUUAACACAUGCAAGUCGAACGGAAAGGCCCUGCUUUUGUGUUGUUCUCGAGUGGCGAACGUGUGAGUAACACGGGAGUAACCUGCCCUUGACUUUGGGAUAACUUCAGGAAACUGGGGCUAAUACCGGAUAGGAGCUCCUGCUGCAUGGUGGGGUGUGGAAAGUUUCGGCGGUUGGGGAUGGACUCGCGGCUUAUCAGCUUGUUGGUGGGGUAGUGGCUUACCAAGGCUUUGACGGGUAGCCGGCCUGAGAGGGUGACCGGCCACAUUGGGACUGAGAUACGGCCCAGACUCCUACGGGAGGAAGCAGUGGGGAAUAUUGCACAAUGGGCGGAAGCCUGAUGCAGCAACGCCGCGUGCGGGAUGACGGCCUUCGGGUUGUAAACCGCUUUCGCCUGUGACGAAGCGUGAGUGACGGUAAUGGGUAAAGAAGCACCAGCUAACUACGUG
rnacentral:rRNA from 1 species